AACUAUGCCUGAGUAGGAUGAAGCCGGAGGAAACUCUGGUGGAGGUCCGAAGCGCUUUUGACGUGCAAAUCAAUCGUCAGACUUGGGUAUAGGGGCGAAAGACUAAUCGAACCAUCUAGUAGCUGGUUCCCUUCGAAGUUUCCCCCAGGAAAGCUGGUGCCAUGUUUGACAGUUUUAUCUGGUAAAGCGAAUGAUUAGAGGCAUUGGGGACGAAUUGUCCUCGACCUAUUCUCAAACUUUAAAUGGGUAAUGUACCGUUGUACUUCUUGAUAUUCAUGAGUGCUCGGUCAAAUGCAAUGGCACCAAGUGGGCCAUUUUUGGUAAGCAGAACUGGCGAUGUGGGAUGAACCAAACGUUGAGCUAGGAUGCCCAAAGUGCUUCUCAUGAGAUACCAUGAAAGGUGUCAGUCGAUAUUGACAGCAGGACGGUGGCCGCAGAAGUAGGAAUCCGCUAAGGAGUGUGUAACAACUCACCUGCCGAAUCGACUGGUCCUGAAAAUGGAUGGCGCUGGAGACGUAUAUCCAUGCUCGACCGUCAAUGCCAACGAAAGCGAUUGCUAUAUGGCUUGACGUGUAGAAGGGCGAUUGCCGUGGCGUCGAAACUUGCACCGUGAGGUGGGGUAGAGCUGCGGCAUGUGCAGAUCUUGGUGGUAGUAGCAAGUAUUCAAAUGAGAGCAUUGAAGACUGAAGUGGAGUAAGGUUCCAUGUGAACAGCAUUUGGACAUGGAUCAGCCGAUCCUAAGAGAACGUGUAAGUUCGUGAUUAAGCGCGUCGCCUUGUGCGUCGCAAUCGAAAGGGAAUCGGGUUAAUAUUCCCGAGCCAGGAUACGGAAUGAGCCUGAUUAAUCGAAAGUACCUUGUGUGCUUUUGACUUCAGGCAAAAGCGGCAACGCCAACAAACCCAGAGAUUAACUAUGCGAAGUCCGGGGAAGAGUUUUCUCUUCUUUGUAAGGGAUGUUAUCCCUGGAAACAGAUUGUCUGGCGAUAGGGUACGCAUCCCGUAAUGCAACGCGAUUCCUGCGAUGUACCGUGCGCUUCGUAUAGUGCUUGAAAAUCUGGGAGCGAGUUUGUUCAGGCCGUACCUGUUCGUACUGAUUUCCGCAGCAGGUCUCCAAGGUGAGCAGCCUCUAGUCGAUGGGACAAAGUAGACAAGGGAAGUCGGCAAAUUAGAUCCGUAACUUCGGAAAAAGGAUUGGCUCUAAAGGCUGAGUUGGUCGGGCGGUUGCGUAAAGCUGGGAGCGAUGCUUUGACUCUGUCUCAGACUCCAUACUCGCAAGGGAUAUGUAAUCGGCGGCGGAGCUUAGUAUUUGCUCACUGUGGACCGCGGUCGCUAUGCCACCCAUGCGGUGUCAAAAUUCAUUUUCGAGCCGUGCGGUGUGGAUCCGAUCAGCGUUUAACAGCUGACCUAGAACUGGUAUGGACAAGGGGAAUCCAACUGUUUAAUUAAAACAAAGCAUUGCGAUAGCUGUAAUCGGUGUUGACGCGAUGUGAUUUCUGCCCAGUGCUCUGAAUGUUAAAGUGAAGGAACUCAUUAAAGCGCGAGUUAACGGCGGAAGUAACUAUGACUUUCUUAAGGUAGCCAAAUGCCUCGUCAUCUAAUUAGUGACGUGCAUGAAUGGAUUAUUGAGAUUCCUUCUGUCCCUGUCUGCAACCUAGCGAAACCACAGCCAAGGGAACGGGCUUGGAGAGUAACAGCGGGGAAAGAAGACCCUGUUGAGCUUGACUCUAGUCAGUCUUUGUGAAGAAACAUGAUGGGUGUAGAAUAGGUGGGAGGACGCGACAGUGAAAUACCACUACUAUCAUCGUUUCUUUACUUACUCAAUUGAUCAGGGAGCGUGAAUUCGCUAUUUGCGAUGUAUGAUUAUUCCUUCAGUGGAAUAAGUGUCUGGUUUGAGAACACAGACUGAUUGGGAGUUUGACUGGGGCGGUACAUCUGUUAAAAUCUAACGCAGGUGUCCUAAGGCAAUCUCAGCGUGGACAGAAACCUCGCAUAGAGCGAAAGGGCAAAAGAUUGCUUGAUCUUGAUUUUCAGUACGAAUAAAGACAAUGAAAGUUUGGCUUGUCGAUCCUUUUGAAUUUUACGAGUUUUAAGCAAGAGGUGUCAGAAAAGUUACCACAGGGAUAACUGGCU
rnacentral:rRNA from 1 species